rnacentral:tRNA from 1 species
GGCUGGAUAGCUCAGUUGGUAGAGCGCCGGUACGGUAACCCGGAGGUCGCAGGUUCGAGUCCCGCUCCAGUCA